AACAAACGCUGGCGGCGUGCCUAAUACAUGCAAGUCGAACGGGGAAAGCUUUCGGGUGAGUACUAGUGGCGCACGGGUGAGGAACGCGUGGAUAACCUGCCUUGAAGAGGGGGAUAACAAGUCGAAAGAUUGGCUAAUACCGCAUAAGACCACAGGAACUGAGGUUCUAGAGGUCAAAGGUUUUUCGCUUCAAGAUGAGUCCGCGUAAGAUUAGCUAGUUGGUGAGGUAACGGCUCACCAAGGCGACGAUCUUUAACUGGUCUGAGAGGAUGAUCAGUCACACUGGAACUGAGACACGGUCCAGACUCCUACGGGAGGCAGCAGUAGGGAAUAUUGCACAAUGGAGGAAACUCUGAUGCAGCGACGCCGCGUGAGUGAUGAAGGCCUUCGGGUCGUAAAGCUCUGUCGCAGGGGAAUAACACAAUGAAGGUACCCUGUAAGAAAGGAUCGGCUAACUUCGUGCCAGCAGCCGCGGUAACAC
rnacentral:rRNA from 1 species